CAAUAGCGUAUAUUAAAGUUGUUGCAGUUAAAAAGCUCGUAGUUGGAUUUCUGGCUGGAGCGAUCGGUCCGCCCCGCAAGGGGUGUGUACUAGCGUCGUCUCCGACCAUCCUUGUGGGAACUGUGCGGCCGUUAACUCGGUUGUAUAUGGGAACACAUCGUUUACUGUGAAAAAAUUAGAGUGUUUAAAGCAGGCAAUCGCUGUGAAUACAUUAGCAUGGAAUAAUAAGAUAGGACUUUGGUGCUAUUUUGUUGGUUUGCACACCAAGGUAAUGAUUAACAGGGACAGUUGGGGGUAUUCGUAUUUAGAUGUCAGAGGUGAAAUUCUUGGAUUUUCGAAAGACGAACUUCUGCGAAAGCAUUUACCAAGGAUGUUUUCAUUAAUCAAGAACGAAAGUUAGGGGAUCGAAGACGAUCAGAUACCA
rnacentral:rRNA from 1 species